GAUGAAGAACGUAGCGAAAUGCGAUACUUGGUGUGAAUUGCAGAAUCCCGUGAACCAUCGAGUCUUUGAACGCAAGUUGCGCCCGAAGCCAUUAGGCCGAGGGCACGCCUGCCUGGGCGUCACACGUCGUUGCCCCCCCAUCUACUCCUUCGGGAUUGCGGGGGGCGGAUGAUGGCCUCCCGUGCGCCUCGUCGCGCGGUUGGCAUAAAUGCCAAGUCCUCGGCGACGCACGCCACGACAAUCGGUGGUUGCGAAACCUCGGUUGCCCGUCGUGUGCGGUCGUCGCGCAUCGAGGGCUCGAAAAAAUUGCCGGGCUCCGGCUCGGCUUUCAACGCGACCCCAGGUCAGGCGGGGUUACCCGCUGAAUUUAAGCAUAUCAAUAAGAGGAGGA
rnacentral:misc_RNA from 1 species